AACAAGGCGUACCUGCGGACCUGCGGAAGGAUCAUUACCGAGUGCGGGUCCUUAUGGCCCAACCUCCCACCCGUGACUAUUGUACCUUGUUGCUUCGGCGGGCCCGCCAGCGUUGCUGGCCGCCGGGGGGCGUCUCGCCCCCGGGCCCGUGCCCGCCGGAGACCCCAACAUGAACCCUGUUCUGAAAGCUUGCAGUCUGAGUGUGAUUCUUUGCAAUCAGUUAAAACUUUCAACAAUGGA
rnacentral:misc_RNA from 1 species